rnacentral:tRNA from 1 species
GGAGGGGUGGCCGAGUGGUUGAAGGCGUCGGUCUUGAAAACCGAUGUGGGGGCAACUCCACCGUGGGUUCGAAUCCCACCCCCUCCGCCA